UACGUAGGGUGCGAGCGUUGUCCGGAAUUAUUGGGCGUAAAGGGCUCGUAGGCGGUUUGUCGCGUCGGGAGUGAAAACCUUGGGCUUAACUCAGGGCUUGCUUUCGAUACGGGCAGACUUGAGUGCGGCAGGGGAGACUGGAAUUCCUGGUGUAGCGGUGAAAUGCGCAGAUAUCAGGAGGAACACCGGCGGCGAAGGCGGGUCUCUGGGCCGUAACUGACACUGAGGAGCGAAAGCGUGGGGAGCGAACAGG
rnacentral:rRNA from 1 species